rnacentral:rRNA from 1 species
UACUUAGGGGGCUAGCGUUGUCCGGAAUCAUUUGGCGUAAAGCGCGUGUAGGCGGUCCGGUAAGUCCGCUGUGAAAGGCGGGGGCUCAACCCUCGAAUGCCGGUGGAUACUGUCGGGCUAGAGUGCGGAAGAGGCGAGUGGAAUUCCUGGUGUAGCGGUGAAAUGCGCAGAUAUCAGGAGGAACACCAAUUGCGAAGGCAGCUCGCUGGGACGUUACUGACGCUGAGACGCGAAAGCGUGGGGAGCAAACAGG